AUAUAUAUAUAUAUAUGUAUGUUUAGGUGAAUGUAUGUGUCUCACAAGACGCACAAAAAGGGAUAAAGUAAGGGUGUGCAAAAGUAUCCAAAGUAAAAAUACAAUUCUAAGCCGACAAGGGAUUCCGUAAGUCCGUAAUAUGGUGAAACGCGACGAUUUUCCUCGAAUGCGAAGACAUUUUUCGAGUUUACACACUGUCUGAAAUACAUAUCUUUUCUACCGAGGAGAGUGUACUCUCCUGUUUUUCCUGGAAUGUGAACGCUACUAAAGAAACGAAUCAAACGACAUUACUACACACUGCGACAAUUCCCAUUGCGAUAUAUAUAUGUAUACAAAUUUAUUAUACAUGUAUAUGGAUAUAUGUAUAUAUAUAUUUAUUUAUUUAUUUAUUUACUUAUUUACUAUGUAUGCAUGAACAUGGAUGUAUGAACUCGUUUAAUAUUUAUAACGAAGCAGAAUAGGUGUAAUGACAGUAAGCUCGAGUGAGUACGGGUUUGCCAAUCAGCUAAUGGAAGUGGUGCGCUUGUCAUAAAUGCACAUUGCCAAAAAGUUCUCCAUAUGAAAUUAGUCCGCUUUGGAUAGCUUUGCUAACGGAAAGUAAUAACAUAAAUCCCAUACGAUAUUAAUAUAAAUGAAUUACAAAAGGAAAUAAUAAAAAGACUUACGUAUCUGAUCUUUUUCUUUUGUUUCAUUUUUUUUUUUCUUUUUUUGUUUUUUUCUUGUAAUUUUUUCUUCCACUUCCAUAGAGAUAUUCGUUUGCGGUCGAUCUUUUUUUUUUUCUUUUUUAAAUAAUCGAUCAUCUUGAUUAUUACGCGUCGUGUAAUCGUUUAUUCGAACGUGUUUCAAAUAGAUUGGCUAUCCAAGCAAUGGCGAACGUGAAAGAGAAUGGAGGAAAUAUAGACUGAACAGAAAAAAAAAAAAAAAAAAAAAAAAAAAAAGAAAAGAACGCAAGAAAUAUACGAACUAAUGAAAGACAAGUGACCGAUCUUAGAAGCUUGUUUGUUCUUCUCUUAGAUGUAUCAGGACACUUUUGAACAUUUCUCAUAGACAUCCCUGUGAGAUUAUUUUUCCCGUGAUAUUUUUAUAAUCUUCGUGAUUUAACGUUAAAAAAAUGAUAAAUAUAUAUAUAUAUAUAUGUAUAUAUGUGUUUAAAAAAAUUGAUCACGAAGAGUAUAAAGUAUAGGGUGAGAUUAAUACGAGUUAGCAUAAAAAAAAUUGCAAAAACCUUUGGAAAAAUUUUAAUGGAAAUUGAUAAUAUUUAACGAAAAUUUGCAAUGACGAACUACAGAAAUAAAAUGGUUUCGUUUCGUGGCUGCUCACUCGGUUCGUGUUCCGUUAAGUGGGUGGGGCUCCACAGCUCUCUCUCUCUCUCUCUCUCUCUCUCUCUCUCUCUCUCUCUCUCUCUCUCUCUCUCUUUCACACACAUACACACUUUCGUCUGGAGCUCUGCCGAUCGAUAAACAGUCCGAAUCAAAAUUCUCGAGGAAGACCUUAGCAGCGAUGAUGAAAUAUCGUCUAUCCUCAUAAAAGAUCCUAACGAAACUCGAAAACUAGUUUGUUGUAUAUAUAUAUCUAUAUGUGUGUGUAUGUGUGUGUGUAUAUAUAUAUAUAUAUAGAUAAAAUUUCCUGGCUGGCAGUAGAUGAAAGAGAAUUUACGAUAGGGGAUAAUAUAACUUGUUCCUUUAUACCUCAUAUUUUUUGAUCCAUCUCAAAGACACAGAACAAAGAUAAAAAGAAAGAAAGAAAGAAAGAAAGAAAGAAAGAAUGAAAGGAGAAAGAAUGAAGGAGAAAAAUCGAUAUUUUUUAAACAUUAUCUUUAUCGUAUCGUAAUUAGAUCCAUUUUUUAUAUUCUCUUCUCUUUGGAAUUUAACCUACGAUAAUGAUUUUACAAUGCUAUAUGAAGGAGGGAGGGGGAAAUGGAUGGACGAGUAUAUAUAUAUAUAUAUAUGGAUGAGUGGUCAAUUGGAAAUUUGCUUAGCUUGUAAAUUAAGAGGCGACGCGAUGGGAACCACUUCAUUUUAAAUAUAACGAUUUUACUUUACAACGACGACGUUUUAUUUAGUGAAAAAUUAUCGUUGGAAUAAAUAUUAAAAAAGAUGUACGACAAAGCGAUUAAAAUAAAAAAUAUAUACGUGGAA